rnacentral:rRNA from 1 species
CAGCCGUAAACUAUGCGCGUUAGGUGUAUCGGUGACCACGAGUUACCGAGGUGCCGAAAGGGAAACCGUGAAACGUGCCGCCUGGGAAGUACGGUCGCAAGGCUGAAACUUAAAGGAAUUGGGCGGGGGAGCACCACAACAGGUGGAGCCUGCGGUUUAAUUGGACUCAACGCCGGGAAGCUCACCGGAUAGGACAGCAGAAUGAUUGCCGGGCUGAAGACCCUGCAUGACUAGCUGAGAGGUGGUGCAUGGCGUCAGUGACU